CUUGGAGAUUGCUCCUUGGUGGAGAUUGCCUUGGUAUUUCCCAGCAAAAGCAUCCAUAUUGGCAUGUACAGGAAAAAGAAGUUCUCUUGGCAAGUUCCCAUCUAAAAGCAUGCCCAGAAGAGAUGCAGAAACCUGUUCAAUAAUUCAGGCAGCGAUGACUUCAGAGGUGAAGGAACGGAAGCAUGAAGAACUCUCUUAGACUUAGCAGUGAUGUUUUAUACCCAGCUCCCACACAGGAUUGCGUAACUGCUGCUGUAAAGCACAGUGCUCCUUCUAGGGGCAGCCUAUCAUUCAUAGGUGCUGUCUGGGUUUAUUUCAGUUCCUAUGACUUCUAAAUUCACUGCAUACAGUGACAACAAAAACACUUUCAAAGCAAAGCAGUCUCCUAUUUUUUUCUAUUUCCUAUCCAACAUGGUGGCUCUGGAGCAUAUGUAUUUGCACUUGGACUGAUUCCUGUUAAUACCAUUAGACUGAAGGCAGCAUGACAAAUAUAUUCUCUCUCGAAUGGCA